UAGGCAGGUUUAUCUUAACAUAACAAGAGUUUAUCAGUUUAAUAUGUUCAAAGCUCCAUUAUGUUAGACUAACUAGAGGCUUACAAUUACUACUACAAAUGUGUAUUUAAUUGAAAACGUUUUAGUAACAUAUCAACAAGUUAAUAACAGUGAUAUAUAACUAUUUCAUGUGAAUAAAAGGUACAUAAAAACAUACAGAUAACAGGAAGUAAUGCACACCUCUCAACAAAAUGGGGACAGCUUUAAGUUCAGUUCAUAAAGGUUCAGAUUUUGUGAAGGACUAUUGUUGUGAUGCUUGUGAAAGUAAACAGAUGGUAGAAACUGCAGAGAUUUACUGUGAAAUAUGUCUGAAGUGUUUUUGUGGAAAUUGCAUUAAUUAUCAUGGUCAAUUAUAUGCUAACCAUGUCAUAUAUGGGAGAAAAGACAAGAAGAAAUGGUCUCUUACUAAGAAAAUGGCAAACUUUAUACAGUCAUGUGAUGCCCACACAGACAAGAAACUAGAAAUAUUUUGUGAGGACCAUAGUAAACUGUUCUGCAGUAAUUGUGCUUUCCUAAAACACAGUGUGGAAGUGUGCUGUGAGUCCAACUGGUGGCAGGAUCUAUGUCACUUACAAAUUCAAGGACAAGCUCCCUAUACUGUCAACAGAUGGGACGCUGAUAUCCACCUUCACUGAUCCUGAACUAUAAUGUCCAUUUGGAGUGCAUGUAACACCUACCGGUCAGGUCCUUGUGUGUGGGUUCAACUUCCACACUGUCAUACAGGUGGAUGGAGAGGGCAAAAGAAAGCUGGCUACUCUUGCUACACAAAAAGAUGAAUUGCACUACCCAGCAUCUGUUUGCUACUACAGCAACACUAACAAAGUCAUUGUGGGAGGAUUUAAUAACACCAAAAUCCUUACACUCAAACUGCUAUAGCCACCAUUUGUAUUUUACAUAUAACAACAUCAUUGUUCAUACUACCUUUCCAGUAGUGUCAUGUGUAUUCAGGUGGACAGUAAAAGCAUGCCUAUUUUAACAGUUUAACUCUCCAUAAUUCCAGGUUGUACUCAAUUGUCUGACAGUUCAACUCUCCAUAAUUCCAGGUUGUACUCAAUUGUCUGACAGUUCAACUCUCCAUAAUUCCAGGUUGUACUCAAUUGUCUGACAGUUCAACUCUCCAUAAUUCCAGGUUGUACUCAAUUGUCUGACAGUUCAACUCUCCAUAAUUCCAGGUUGUACUCAAUUGUCUGAUAUGAACAGUUCAGUUCUAUGAGCAGUUUUUUUUCUUAUAUCAGAGUUUAUUCCUUUAGUAAAAUCGAAAUGUG